rnacentral:misc_RNA from 1 species
UAUGGACAUUAACAAGAUCUGUUCAACAAAGAAAUUUUCAUCUCGCAGCAUAAACACAAGGAUCCAUGCAUUUUUAAAAUAAAUAAAUAAUCUAUUUGCACUGAAUCCCGCUGCCUUGAACCAAUAAAAACUUAAAACAUGAAUGAUAAGGAUCCAGCCAAUCCUUUCGUUUUGUGCAAUAAGAAAAUGAGGUUCAGGCACAAAAGCAUUUGAUGGGGAUUCUUGGAUGGAUACAGUAAAAUUUUAGGUUUUGCUUAAUGAAAUCUCCUUGUGGUUUUUCUGGUGCUUCAAGCGGAGUUGGACAUUAAACUUCAUCAUAUGAAGGUGCCUAGCUUAAUUACAUUACAGAGUUCAGG